GAGUUCCUCCUUGUGCAGCUCUAGCAAUAUGUUAAAAUCUAACUUUGCAAAAUUCAGCAGAGUUUUAUUGUGUAAAUGAUCACUUGUUGAAUUGAUCAUGGACAUAAAAUACCUCGCCUCUAAUCUUGGUAGGGUUUUACGAAGAGGACGGUAUAAAGCAUGAUUUAUCUGUUCCGCAAGCUUAGGGGUUACAUGAUCCUGAGCUACCAAUGACUUCAGGUGAGUGGUAGUGAAAGCAAUGGCUUCAUCUAAUAUAUGUUCUCCGCGAACUGCCAUGUAUGCUGCCUCGUACAAACUUAACAUCCCUUGAACAUCGUUUAUCAACGAUGACUUGAAUCUACCCUCAUCAUCUUUGAACUUCUCAAACACAUCUGAUUAUCACAUUCAAAAAGUAAAUUACUGAAGGCUUACAUGAUUAAUAAUUAGUCAAUGAUUUUGUAAUUGCAAUAAUGUUAGAGCCACAAAUUCUUCAUACAUUACAAACUCAUCAAGUCGCAUCAUAAUUUUGGUUAGAUAAAUAUACCACAUGACUUAUUUUCAUUAUUAUUUUUAUUAAUCAAUCAAUACUCUUAUAUGAAAAUAAAAAAGUAGGGUGAGGGUAAAAUCUAAAUUGAUAUUUUAGCCCCGGCCUAGCUUACAUUAUUCAAACUCAAGUGGUUAGCUAAAGAAAACUACUUGAAAAUCAGUCGUCCAAAUCUCUAGAGACAAAUACAAUAAAAAGUGUUUGUGACUGUCGCAUUACUCACAAUUGUAAUAGCUUGAGUGAGAUUACAUACCACAUGAAAUCUUGAUUCCUUGCUGCCUAAGCAAUCGAAAAUGAAGAGAAACGGUGUGAAGAUCAGGGCUAUUACUGUGAAUAUAGUUUGGACAUAAUUUUUGUAUUGCAUCUUCUAUUUCUUUCUCAAAGUGAUAAGCCACCCCCAGGCGUUGUACUUCAUCAAUCAAGCGUAACUUCUGAACAGGCUUAUCUUCAGCAUCUGUUAUCAUUCUCCUUACCUCUUCUUUCAGUGCCUCGUGUCGUUCUUGAGUUGCAGUAUGAUCAACUGUCUGAAGCACAAAAAAUAAUUUGUUAAAUUCAUACAAUAUCUGAUGAAUGGUCAAUUUAAAAAAAAAAAAAGCUGCUUUAAAACCAUUUGGUCAAACUCCUGAAGAUACGGUACAUGCUCACUUAACAAAUCGAGUCCUAUAUGGGAUGUUUGGGUUCAUCUUUACCUUGAAAUCAGAAGCACCUUUGAGGAAAUGGUUUCUCCAUAAACUAGGAUGGAAAUCUGCAGUAGGACGAAAUGUUUCUCCAGACGACAUUUUUGUGUCAGACAAACGGGUGCUGCAGAAUUUUGAUAUUUCUGUGGAAUUAUAAUUUGUAUUUCUACUACUACUGCACCCUUUAAUAUAUACUAAUUCGAUUAUAUCAAGACGGACGCAUGCAACUUGUCUUGAAAGCCUUUUAAUUUAAUUUAUUAUCAAUUCCGAUUCAUUUAAACGCUUGGAUGCAUGGAAACCACGUGAUGGGUCAAUUUUUGACUUUCUGUUAGAUUCUCAAAAUUGUGUCAAUUUUUUUUUCUUUUUCUUUUUGGCCUAUUUAUAACUUAUGGUUUUAAUGGAAAGAUUUUAGUGCAUAUCUGUAUCAUAUUGACAAGUGACAACAACUAGUGUAUUUACUGGGAUAAUUAUUUUUCAGGUAACUCGUUCUCUGUUUAAUCGCAACAAAAUGGCUUGUCUCUAAUUAGAGUUUGAUUAUAUGUUUAAGCUCUUGGUUCUAUUUAGAGUUAGGACUCCAGAAAGUGUUCGUAGAGUUUACACGUACAAGAGAAAUUUUGUUGCUUGCAAUAUUUGGCAUGUAAGGCGGAUGAAAAAUAGGCUUGGGCAUAUGUAUUACAUUGUUUCGGAGUUAGUGCUGAGAUUUUGGCUAACUUUUUAGAAAUAUAUAAUUAGUAGUUAUUUGGAUAAAAAUAUAAAACUAAUUAAAUUUUAACUAUGUAUACGUUUAGGUAUGGAAAAAGACUAUAAAAAAGUUUAGCACAGUUAAACUCAGUAUUGGAUCCAAAUCUGUAAUACAUGGGAACUAUUGAACCUAUCAAGAAGAGCUGACUUGUUAGAAAGAGAUUUGUAAUAAUUCAGGGAGAGAUGUGUUAAAAUUUUAGCAAAAUUUCAGGGGCGAUGAAUGAAAUAUUUUCUAAACUUUUGUGAAACUUAAAUUUACCCAUAGAUAUUUUGUGUAAUUUUAUAGGUGGAGCAGAUAUAUCCCUCCCAAAAUUGUGUACAAUAUGCAUAUCAGUAAUUAAAGAAAAAAAAAUUGGGGAUGAUGAUGCAUACCUCCUCUUUUGCAUAACGUACGCAGUGUGAUCUUCCUUGCUUGGCCAUAUCUUCCUCAAUUUCAUUAAAAGCAUCUAAGAGUGUCCUGUAAAUCAAUUUCAUGUAUUCUGGAAGCGUAUCUACGGCCUCAAUAUUCCAUCUGGAAAUCAAUUUAAUAACCAUUUUAUAAUAAUAGCAACAAAAAUUUAAUUCUGAAAUUCAAAAUUAAUUAGCUAUACGCAGGGCACUAACCUUUGAACUGCUUCAGUAAAGAGGCUGAGUUCUUCAAGUGUACCAUACGCAUCAUAAGUAUCAUCUAUGAUGGAUAAUAUGUAAUUUAAUUGGGUCAUUAUCUUUCUCCCAAAUGCAUAUUGAGGCUCGAAGUAUGUCCCUAAAUCCCAAAAAUAUAACUCCACUAAUCUGUCUCUUGCAUAAGGUAGUUUUGUAGUGAAGUCUAAAUCUUUCCACCACCUGAAAUAAGAAUAUAUACAUUUGUCACGAUUCUAUUGUUUGGAUGUACGACGGAGGUAUAAAAGAAUUUCUCCCUAUCGAAAGAACUUACUUUGUUAAUUCAUUGAGUUCCUCCUUGUGCAGCUCUAGCAAUAUGUUAAAAUCUAACUUUGCAAAAUUCAGCAGAGUUUUAUUGUAUAAAUGAUCACUUGUUGAAUUGAUCAUGGACAUAAAAUACCUCGCCUCUAAUCUUGGUAGGGUUUUACGAAGAGGACGGUAUAAAGCAUGAUUUAUCUGUUCCGCAAGCUUAGGGGUUACAUGAUCCUGAGCUACCAAUGACUUCAGGUGAGUGGUAGUGAAAGCAAUGGCUUCAUCUAAUAUAUGUUCUCCGCGAACUGCCAUGUAUGCUGCCUCGUACAAACUUAACAUCCCUUGAACAUCGUUUAUCAACGAUGACUUGAAUCUACCCUCAUCAUCUUUGAACUUCUCAAACACAUCUGAUUAUCACAUUCAAAAAGUAAAUUACUGAAGGCUUACAUGAUUAAUAAUUAUUCAAUGAUUUUGUAAUUUCAAUAAUGUUAGAGCCACAAAUUCUUCAUACAUUACAAACUCAUGAAGUCGCAUCAUAAUUUUGGUUAGAUAAAAAUACCACAUGACUUAUUUUCAUUAUUAUUUUUAUUAAUCAAUCAAUACUCUUACAUGAAAAUAAAAAAGUAGGGUGAGGGUAAAAUCUAAAUUGAUAUUUUAGCCCCGGCCUAGCUUACAAUAUUCAAACUCAAGUGGUUAGCUAAAGAAAACUACUUGAAAAUCAGUCGUCCAAAUCUCUAGAGACAAAUACAAUAAAAAGUGUUUGUGACUGUCGCAUUACUCACAAUUGUAAUAGCUUGAGUGAGAUUACAUACCACAUGAAAUCUUGAUUCCUUGCUGCCUAAGCAAUCGAAAAUGAAGAGAAACGGUGUGAAGAUCAGGGCUAUUACUGUGAAUAUAGUUUGGACAUAAUUUUUGUAUUGCAUCUUCUAUUUCUUUCUCAAAGUGAUAAGCCACCCCCAGGCGUUGUACUUCAUCAAUCAAGCGUAACUUCUGAACAGGCUUAUCUUCAGCAUCUGUUAUCAUUCUCCUUACCUCUUCUUUCAGUGCCUCGUGUCGUUCUUGAGUUGCAGUAUGAUCAACUGUCUGAAGCACAAAAAAUAAUUUGUUAAAUUCAUACAAUAUCUGAUGAAUGGUCAAUUUAAAAAAAAAAAAAGCUGCUUUAAAACCAUUUGGUCAAACUCCUGAAGAUACGGUACAUGCUCACUUAACAAAUCGAGUCCUAUAUGGGAUGUUUGGGUUCAUCUUUACCUUGAAAUCAGAAGCACCUUUGAGGAAAUGGUUUCUCCAUAAACUAGGAUGGAAAUCUGCAGUAGGACGAAAUGUUUCUCCAGACGACAUUUUUGUGUCAGACAAACGGGUGCUGCAGAAUUUUGAUAUUUCUGUGGAAUUAUAAUUUGUAUUUCUACUACUACUGCACCCUUUAAUAUAUACUAAUUCGAUUAUAUCAAGACGGACGCAUGCAACUUGUCUUGAAAGCCUUUUAAUUUAAUUUAUUAUCAAUUCCGAUUCAUUUAAACGCUUGGAUGCAUGGAAACCACGUGAUGGGUCAAUUUUUGACUUUCUGUUAGAUUCUCAAAAUUGUGUCAAUUUUUUUUUCUUUUUCUUUUUGGCCUAUUUAUAACUUAUGGUUUUAAUGGAAAGAUUUUAGUGCAUAUCUGUAUCAUAUUGACAAGUGACAACAACUAGUGUAUUUACUGGGAUAAUUAUUUUUCAGGUAACUCGUUCUCUGUUUAAUCGCAACAAAAUGGCUUGUCUCUAAUUAGAGUUUGAUUAUAUGUUUAAGCUCUUGGUUCUAUUUAGAGUUAGGACUCCAGAAAGUGUUCGUAGAGUUUACACGUACAAGAGAAAUUUUGUUGCUUGCAAUAUUUGGCAUGUAAGGCGGAUGAAAAAUAGGCUUGGGCAUAUGUAUUACAUUGUUUCGGAGUUAGUGCUGAGAUUUUGGCUAACUUUUUAGAAAUAUAUAAUUAGUAGUUAUUUGGAUAAAAAUAUAAAACUAAUUAAAUUUUAACUAUGUAUACGUUUAGGUAUGGAAAAAGACUAUAAAAAAGUUUAGCACAGUUAAACUCAGUAUUGGAUCCAAAUCUGUAAUACAUGGGAACUAUUGAACCUAUCAAGAAGAGCUGACUUGUUAGAAAGAAGAUAUCUUGAUAAAGUUGGCAUGUCUCUUGUAAAGAGAAAAAAAAAAUUAUUAGAAAAGAGAUGGCAUAAAACCAUUAGUAAUUUUGUUGCCUUAAAAACAAAAAUUUAAUGAAGAUCGAACGUCGUGGGCAAAAACGGAAUUCAAAAAUAAAUUUCGUGAUUAAGAAAUGGCCACAACUAUGGUACCACUGUGGUACCAUAGCCGGACCCUUAAGAAAUUUAUGAAUUAUUCACAGGAUUACAAUUUCUUGAGAAUUAAGUAGUCAAAAUAGGAGAGCUAACCGAAUUUAAUUUGAUCUAAUUUAUUUAACCAACAGUCCGUAAUUAAUUGGAUUUGAUUUGAUUUUCUUAUUUUUUUAUUCAACUCAAUCUUCCAAGGACGAAAUAAAAUUUGAUCCAAUUUUAUUCAAUUUAACAAUAACCAAUCUAAAUAACAACAAAAUCAUAUUGUAAAUAUCGAUUCGAAUCAAAUUAAUUAAUUUAAAAGUAUAGUAUUUUCAAAAUAUCUUUUAGAUAUGAUGGUUUUGAGUUUUUAAUCUAUAAUACGUGAUGGAAUGGGGUCAGGUACAAUUUCUAGUACUUUCAUAAAAAGAUUUUAGAUACACGGGUUUUGACCUUUUAUUCUAUAAUACAUGAUGGAGAGAGAUCAGAUAUAAUUAAAAUAAUUCUAUAUUUAUUUUUUUAUUAUAUUUUAUUAUGUAAUAAUGGAGAUUGAUUUUUUUUAGUAAUUAUAGCUAUUUUAAAUUUGUUAUUCCAGAUUUUAUCUUAAAUGAUCGGUUAUUUAUUAAGUGGUUGAUAAUUUUUUUAUAAGAUUCAGGUAAAUUAAUUGUAUUAUCUUAUCAUCCAAUUGAUGUAUGCUAUAUCACUUGGAUAUUUUUUAGGAUAAAAAAUUUAGAAUGUAUGGCACUACUCUUUUUUUUUUUUUUUUGUGAGAUUAUUUGAACCGACUAAAUUACUCUCAACACUAAUUUGCUUAAUAAAUCCAUGACUAAAGUUUAAAAAUAAAAUUUUACUUUAUAUGCUCACCUAAAUGCCCGAUUUACCCCUAUCUCUUUGUAACAUUAUUUGAAAAGCAAAAAGAAGAGAAAGGGGAAAAAAACUUGACAUGGUAUCUUUUAGAUCGGAAAAGAGAGAAGCUUGAUUGUUGGAAUGCAUAGAUAAUCCAAAUCCAAAUCUCAUUUCCAUCUUAAAUCGGUAAUCCAAUUUGGCUACCAUUACAACCAGUAAGUUUAUUUUUUCAAAUUAGAAUACAACAUGCACUACUAGAAAAAUGGUCUUUACUGAUACUUAGUUUGUGACACUUUAUUAAAAAGUAUCAGUAUUUACAUAUAUAUGGACCAUUUUCCGUGUUUAACAUAUAAGUAUCACAAAAUACUAAUACUAUGGUGUCUCUAAAUUAAACAUCAGAGAUUACUGACACUAAAGUAUCUGUAAAAAAUUUAAAGUAAUUAUGAUAUUGGUCCCGAUAAAACUCGAACCCAAGACCUAUAAAAAUUAAGCUUUUAAGUUUUAAACAAAAGCCAUUAUAAUUUUUUGCAAUGACACUAAGGUAUCGCUAACUGUUAAAAAAACAAAAACAAAAACACACGCACACAUUCACACAUGACACCUCACCCCACACACUCACAAGACGCAAAAACAAACCCUAAGUCCUUAACAAUUAACAUUACAAUACUUUGAAAGAGAGAGAGAGAGCGCCGCUACUCUCGAUCCAGUGCUCCAACACCGGCUCAGAUCUCUCGCUUUUAUAUCACCGCGUCAAGCCUCUCCGUCACGCCGUCAAGCCUCCAUCAAGUGUCACUGCUUCAAGCCUCCAUCAAGUGUCACUGCGUCAAGCCUCUCUGUCACGUUGUCAAGCUUCCAUCAUGCGUCACCGCGUCAAGCCUCUCUCUGCUGUCAUAAGCCACCGAUGCGGCACCGCGCCAUUGGUAGUGUCGUUAAGGUGCACCAAAUUUAAAACCUUACCACUAAUAUAAAUAAUUAGUACAGAGCGAGUAAGGAUUGAUCCCACAGAGACUAUACUAGUUAUAUUUAUUAUUAACUCUAAAGCAAUAUUUGAAAUAAAAUAAUGGUAGUAAUAAUAAGAGUAAUAAUAAUAUAAAUUAAUCUAACUAAAGAAAAUGCCAAUUAUAAAUAAAAAGGGGGUUUAUGAAUUUUUUAACUAAAUAGUAAGAAGUAAAGAAAUUAAAACUACGAACAAGAAUUCAAUAAAAACUCUAAUUAAAGGAGAAAGAAAUAAUAAUCAAUUUAAGAUAACGGAAGCAUUAAAUAAAGAAAGAUAUUAUGUUGAUCUAGGCAAUAAACACACAAGCUCGGAUUAUUUAACCUAGGUUAUGUUCUUCAAUUGAAAUCAUGAAUUCCAACCUGCUACUAAUGAUUAAAAUAUCAAGACAAUUACAGAUCAAGAAUUUUAAUCUAACAAUAAAAUUUAUUCAAGUCCUAUCUAAUUGACCACUCAAAUAAAACAAGAAUAAACCAUGAACAUUAAUUAUAGAAGAACAUAAACAAUCUCAAUUAAAUAAAUUGAAUGAUAGAAUUUAAAUUUAAUUGCAUAGCAUGUUUAGGGUUUUGAAUUCACCCUCAACCAAAUAAAAAUCUAGCCUAACAUAAUUGAAUUGGGAAUAAGAGAAUUGAUAAAACCAGUCAUGUAGAUUAAUUCAAGCGGCUGCCUUUGCUUCAAUUUUAAUUCCUUCCGGCGUCUCCCUUGUUUUUUUCCUUCUUGCAGCUGCAAUCUCAAAUUCUCUUGCUGCCGAUUCUCCUCCAGUGUUGAUUCUGCUUGAUCCUAUUUAUAAUGCUUCAAUUGUGGCUUUUUUAAAUCCUUGCCUGGAAAGAAUUAAAUUCAAAGCCCAAAACCGCCACUUUCAUGCUUCAAUUAAUAAGCCAAUAAUGAUUUCCUAAAGCCAAAAGGCUUUAUUCUCUUUCCUUUCACGUGGCCACUUUUGAUUUGCAAUCUUUGUUUUCCAAUUUUGCUUUCAUGUGAUGGCUUGGCUUGUUAAUUGGUUUGGCUUCCUUUUUGACUUUCAUUUUCUAAUUUUAGCUCCAUGUACAACAUUAAUUUUGCUUGGCCGAUACAAGCUUUAAUUAAAUUUAUUUUCUAAUUCCUUCCAAUUCUUGAUCUCUUGUGCACUUUUGUCUUUCAAUCUUCAAUCAAAUUUCUGUCCUGAAUGCUCCGAUUUAAUUUCUCUUUAAUUCCAGAAUAUACCUAAAAUAAAAAAAUAAAUAAAACUAAGAUAAAAAUUAACACAAUAAAAUAUAAUUUACUAAAUUAAAAGUUAACUAAAAUAACUAGAAUAUUUAAGACCAAAACAAGAAAAAGAUAGAGAAAUUAAUAGCAAAAUAUAUGGAAAAUAUGCACUUAUCAGCCAUCACUAGCCAACCAGCCACCAAAAUUGACAGCCGUGCUAGCUACCCACCAUCACAAUACCCUACCACUGCCUGCUAAUACUCCAAAAAAUCUUCUCAAAACUUCGAGCCACAGUGUCCAGGUCUGGUUUUUCAAGUCUUGCUUUUUUAAGUUUUUAGUAUCAUCAAGUCUUGCUUCUUCAAGUCUUAAAGUGUAUCUUCAGUCACCAAUUAUAUUUAUGGGUAUUCACUGGUUCGUUGAGUAAUUUUUUCAAACAGAUGGGGUAUUGCGUCAUAACAGCCUUGUAUAUUUCUAUAUCUAAUAUUGAAUGAAUGAAUGAAUCUAUGUGUAGCUUACGAAAUGCAAAAUCAGGAGUAGUAACAAUUAAAGAACAAUUAAAACUGAAAUGAAAGCAUAAUCACAAGUUGUUUAUUGAUUUACCUUUCAAUAAAUCUCUCUCUCACACUUACACACUCUGCUCUCUAACCUACCUUUUUGACUUGGCUCCCAAAAAAUAAUAAAGUAAAAUUUUGGUCCCAAGAAAGUUUGAUUUCUAAACAAAGGGGAAAAAAAAGUUAAAAGAAAGUAAGAUUUAUUUUACAAAUUUUACGGUGCUUCUCUUUUAGAACUGUAUGUAUAAAUAAUAAUAAUAAUAUGAGUUUCAUAGAAAAUUUAAUUUAUUUGAUCAUGUUCAUUGAUAUGCUUUAACAAUGCUUUAUUAAUUCUGUUAAUUUGCUUUAACAAUGCUUUAUUAAUUCUAUUAAUUGCACUUCUUAACUCCUACUUAUCAUAUGAUUAACCCCUUAGUUUGGUUGGGAUGAUUGGUACUUUCUAUUUUUAACUUAUGGUGGAGCGUUUGAGUCUUGCGGUGACCUAUUAGUUUGGUUAAGUUGAUCGGCACUUUCUAUCUUUAACUUACGAUGGAGCAUUCGAGUCUGGCAGUAAAUAUAUAUUAGAGUUUAUUUUUUUAUUCGAAGGGAAAAUCUUUAAAUAACAAUAAAAAUAUAAAAUAUUUAUUAGUACAGACCAAUACGAUACACCGUAUUUCCUUCAAACACAAACCAAGGAACUGAAAAUAUUAUUAAUAGAAGUAUAGAACUAGUCGUCAAAAUGGAACGUGGUCUCCUAGCACAGAAGCAAUUUGAUCUUUAAUUAGGUAAGAAUGCGUAUAGCCGUCGUCCUCUUUGUAAAUAAAAUCAAUUGCACGAGCAAGAUUAAGAAUCGUCCCGAGCAGUGGUCGGGCAACGACGGUUGGCUUCAUCAUCAACUCCUCGUUAAUAUCUUUCCAUGCAUUUGCAACUUCUUCUUCAAACAUUUUAAUUGCCUCUUCCUUAGAGACACCAUGCUGCUUCGUGUAACAUUCAAUAGCUGACGCAACAUGUCCUCUCUUCUGCUCAAACUACAUAUAUAAUAACAUAUGGUUUAGUAUCGGUGCCUGUUUAGAUUGGUAUAUAUUAGGAGAUUUAUAAGUAAUUAUAGUAAUUAUUCGAAAAAUUAAAAGUUAAUUUUGAUGUAUACACACACACACCCCACUUUUCAGUGCGCAGAUUUUUAAAAAAUAUAAUAACAUAGAUUGGAGGGUUUUGAUAAAUUUUCUAUAAAAGUGCGGGGUUAUGUAAUUUAUUUGAUCAUGUUCAUUGAUAUGCUUUAACAAUGCUUUAUUAAUUCUGUUAAUUUGCUUUAACAAUGCUUUAUUAAUUCUAUUAAUUGCACUUCUUAACUCCUACUUAUCAUAUGAUUAACCCCUUAGUUUGGUUGGGAUGAUUGGUACUUUCUAUUUUUAACUUAUGGUGGAGCGUUUGAGUCUUGCGGUGACCUAUUAGUUUGGUUAAGUUGAUCGGCACUUUCUAUCUUUAACUUACGAUGGAGCAUUCGAGUCUGGCAGUAAAUAUAUAUUAGAGUUUAUUUUUUUAUUCGAAGGGAAAAUCUUUAAAUAACAAUAAAAAUAUAAAAUAUUUAUUAGUACAGACCAAUACGAUACACCGUAUUUCCUUCAAACACAAACCAAGGAACUGAAAAUAUUAUUAAUAGAAGUAUAGAACUAGUCGUCAAAAUGGAACGUGGUCUCCUAGCACAGAAGCAAUUUGAUCUUUAAUUAGGUAAGAAUGCGUAUAGCCGUCGUCCUCUUUGUAAAUAAAAUCAAUUGCACGAGCAAGAUUAAGAAUCGUCCCGAGCAGUGGUCGGGCAACGACGGUUGGCUUCAUCAUCAACUCCUCGUUAAUAUCUUUCCAUGCAUUUGCAACUUCUUCUUCAAACAUUUUAAUUGCCUCUUCCUUAGAGACACCAUGCUGCUUCGUGUAACAUUCAAUAGCUGACGCAACAUGUCCUCUCUUCUGCUCAAACUACAUAUAUAAUAACAUAUGGUUUAGUAUCGGUGCCUGUUUAGAUUGGUAUAUAUUAGGAGAUUUAUAAGUAAUUAUAGUAAUUAUUCGAAAAAUUAAAAGUUAAUUUUGAUGUAUAUAUACACACACACCCCCCACUUUUCAGUGCGCAGAUUUUAAAAAAAUAUAAUAACAUAGAUUGGAGGGUUUUGAUAAAUUUUCUAUAAAAGUGCGGGGUUAUGUAUUUUUUAUUUUGCAUACCUCAUGACCUUGCAUGUCAUCCAUGAGUCUGCAGAUAACUGAUGCUGCUUUUACAACCUUAGGGUUAUUGGAGAUCCAUUCAAAAACCUCUUUAGUUGCAAAAUCACCCAUGCCAAGGAAGGAAUUUGUUAUGACGAAUGUGUAAGCACAACUUGUUAGUGCAAUAGGCAUAUACUCCUCAAUUGUUGGAACGUAACCUUCACUGAACCAUUUGGCUUGAACAGAGUAUGCUCCAAUUACUUUUUGAUUCUGAGAAGCAAAACGCAGCUAAACCUUAGCCGUUAUAAAAACAAUAAUAAGAAAUAAGUUUUUUAAAUUUUAAUAUACCUGUUGUGAUAUAUUAAUUUGAUCUAAUUAAUUUCUAAGAGCCAAUAAUUCAGUAAGAUUUAUGGUUGAUGAGUGAGAUUUCUCAUCUCCAUCCAAACAAACUUAACAAAUAGAAGGAAACAACCUCCAUUAUAAAACACACUUUUGAUAAGUUUUAUGUAACCUAACAAAUAGCUCCAAGGGCUUAAGCUAAUUAUCCAAUGAAUUCUUACAUUUGUAAUAAUUCAGGGAGAGAUGUGUUAAAAUUUUAGCAAAAUUUCAGGGGUGAUGAAUGAAAUAUUUUCUAAACUUUUGUGAAACUUAAAUUUACCCAUAGAUAUUUUGUGUAAUUUUAUAGGUGGAGCAGAUAUAUCCCUCCCAAAAUUGUGUACAAUAUGCAUAUCAGUAAUUAAAGAAAAAAAAAUUGGGGAUGAUGAUGCAUACCUCCUCUUUUGCAUAACGUACGCAGUGUGAUCUUCCUUGCUUGGCCAUAUCUUCCUCAAUUUCAUUAAAAGCAUCUAAGAGUGUCCUGUAAAUCAAUUUCAUGUAUUCUGGAAGCAUAUCUACGGCCUCAAUAUUCCAUCUGGAAAUCAAUUUAAUAACCAUUUUAUAAUAAUAGCAACAAAAAUUUAAUUCUGAAAUUCAAAAUUAAUUAGCUAUACGCAGGGCACUAACCUUUGAACUGCUUCAGUAAAGAGGCUGAGUUCUUCAAGUGUACCAUACGCAUCAUAAGUAUCAUCUAUGAUGGAUAAUAUGUAAUUUAAUUGGGUCAUUAUCUUUCUCCCAAAUGCAUAUUGAGGCUCGAAGUAUGUCCCUAAAUCCCAAAAAUAUAACUCCACUAAUCUGUCUCUUGCAUAAGGUAGUUUUGUAGUGAAGUCUAAAUCUUUCCACCACCUGAAAUAAGAAUAUAUACAUGUGUCACGAUUCUAUUGAUUGGAUGUACGACGGAGGUAUAAAAGAAUUUCUCCCUAUCGAAAGAACUUACUUUGUUAAUUCAUUGAGUUCCUCCUUGUGCAGCUCUAGCAAUAUGUUAAAAUCUAACUUUGCAAAAUUCAGCAGAGUUUUAUUGUGUAAAUGAUCACUUGUUGAAUUGAUCAUGGACAUAAAAUACCUCGCCUCUAAUCUUGGUAGGGUUUUACGAAGAGGACGGUAUAAAGCAUGAUUUAUCUGUUCCGCAAGCUUAGGGGUUACAUGAUCCUGAGCUACCAAUGACUUCAGGUGAGUGGUAGUGAAAGCAAUGGCUUCAUCUAAUAUAUGUUCUCCGCGAACUGCCAUGUAUGCUGCCUCGUACAAACUUAACAUCCCUUGAACAUCGUUUAUCAACGAUGACUUGAAUCUACCCUCAUCAUCUUUGAACUUCUCAAACACAUCUGAUUAUCACAUUCAAAAAGUAAAUUACUGAAGGCUUACAUGAUUAAUAAUUAGUCAAUGAUUUUGUAAUUGCAAUAAUGUUAGAGCCACAAAUUCUUCAUACAUUACAAACUCAUCAAGUCGCAUCAUAAUUUUGGUUAGAUAAAUAUACCACAUGACUUAUUUUCAUUAUUAUUUUUAUUAAUCAAUCAAUACUCUUAUAUGAAAAUAAAAAAGUAGGGUGAGGGUAAAAUCUAAAUUGAUAUUUUAGCCCCGGCCUAGCUUACAUUAUUCAAACUCAAGUGGUUAGCUAAAGAAAACUACUUGAAAAUCAGUCGUCCAAAUCUCUGGGGACAAAUACAAUAAAGUGUUUGUGGCUGUCGCAUUACUCACAAUUGUAAUAGCUUGAGUGAGAUUACAUACCACA
rnacentral:lncRNA from 1 species